GAGGAGCUUGUUUGUCUAAGUUAAUUUCAGCAGCUUAUAAAAGUGGACUUUCUAAAACGCUUCAAUACUUGCAGAAAAGUUGCAGAUUGAAAGUCCUUCUAGUUCUUCUUCUACCUCUUUUUCUUCUUCAGUCUUCGUUAAACGGGCUAAAAUCGAUGGCGAACUACAAAGUCGCAAGUUUCAUUCUCCUGGUUGCUGUCCUUACGCGAACUGCGUUCUCUGAGACAUACUCUGACUGUUUGAAUAAUUGCGAUAACGCCGCCGACACUUGCCUCGAUAGCUGUGGAAGUCAUACAUGUGCGGCUGGAUGUUCUAGUAAAGUAAACACUUGUUAUGGUGAAUGCACCCGGAAAAAAAGAGAAUACCACAGUUCCUUGCCCAGAGAGCCCGACCAGAAGGAGGAUAAAGACCUUUAUGACAUAUUUCAUAAGUAAUUUAAUCGGAGUUAAACCCAUUGCACGAUAGACUUUCCGAAUCUCGUCAGUCGUCUAUAAGUGCAGUAAACAGUAGUAAUUCUAUUAACAUAGCAUUGGCAGAACCGAAUGAGUUUUUUGAUCAUGUAUGAUUUAUCUUGAAUAAGUUCAAUAACCAACUGUUAUUUGUUAGUUGUCAAUAAAACAAAGGGAAGAUAACAGAUGAAA